UACAGAGGUCUCAAGCGUUGUUCGGAUUCAUUGGGCGUAAAGGGUGCGUAGGCGGCGCGGUAAGUCGGGUGUGAAAUCUCGGAGCUUAACUCCGAAACUGCAUUCGAUACUGCCGUGCUUGAGGACUGGAGAGGAGACUGGAAUUUACGGUGUAGCGGUGAAAUGCGUAGAUAUCGUAAGGAAGACCAGUGGCGAAGGCGGGUCUCUGGACAGUUCCUGACGCUGAGGCGCGAAGGCUAGGGGAGCAAACGGG
rnacentral:rRNA from 1 species